rnacentral:rRNA from 1 species
GGCCUAACACAUGCAAGUCGAGCGGUAGAGAGAAGCUUGCUUCUCUUGAGAGCGGCGGACGGGUGAGUAAUGCCUAGGAAUCUGCCUGGUAGUGGGGGAUAACGUUCGGAAACGGACGCUAAUACCGCAUACGUCCUACGGGAGAAAGCAGGGGACCUUCGGGCCUUGCGCUAUCAGAUGAGCCUAGGUCGGAUUAGCUAGUUGGUGAGGUAAUGGCUCACCAAGGCGACGAUCCGUAACUGGUCUGAGAGGAUGAUCAGUCACACUGGAACUGAGACACGGUCCAGACUCCUACGGGAGGCAGCAGUGGGGAAUAUUGGACAAUGGGCGAAAGCCUGAUCCAGCCAUGCCGCGUGUGUGAAGAAGGUCUUCGGAUUGUAAAGCACUUUAGGUUGGGAAGAAGUGUAUGCGGUGAAUAGCCGUGUAUGUUGACGGUACCGACAGAAUAAG